GUCAACCAUUCUUGUCUCUGCAAGUUUCUCUACAGUUCUUAUAGAUAUUUAGUUUUUAGUUUUCAUUGUUCUUUUAGAUCUAAGAAGCUUUUCAAGAAGUGUAGAGUGAGGAUCAAUCAUCUUACUACCAAGUCAAUCUGAACAAGCCAACUCUAUUACUACUAUUAGAAAAUGUGAGGUCGAUGAUAAUAAAAUUAAUAUAAAAAUUGAAGGGAAUUCUUCUU
rnacentral:lncRNA from 1 species